CAGGGUGUAGUUUAAUUAAAAUAUUAAUUUUGGAGGUUAAUGAUAAGGCUUACCUUUUCCCUGA
rnacentral:tRNA from 1 species